rnacentral:rRNA from 1 species
CCCUACGGGGUGCAGCAGGCGGGGAGACAAGUCAGCUGUGAAAACUAUGGGCUUAACCCAUAAACUGCAGUUGAAACUGUUUUUCUUGAGUGGAGUAGAGGUAGGCGGAAUUCCGAGUGUAGCGGUGAAAUGCGUAGAUAUUCGGAGGAACACCAGUGGCGAAGGCGGCCUACUGGGCUCUAACUGACGCUGAGGCUCGAAAGUGUGGGGAGCAAACA